rnacentral:lncRNA from 1 species
AUGGUCCAUCCUCCGGCCCAUCCCAUUUCCUGCGGCCUUGCCGGACGAUCGAGGUGUGCCCCUUGCUGUGUGGAUGAACUGAACCACCAAACAGAUUCCACGAUGAUAGCAAGCUACAACGAUUUCUCCUGCAUGAAUUUCUGUUUUUGUUGUGGCAGUCCCUUACGAGUUGGGCCCUUCAGAUCUUACCAAAUCGAGUACCAACCUGAAACAGCGAACGGAGCCAAGUUUAUGGUCAUCCCCUUUUCUGAAUUGUUUUUUGGAAAGACAAGUGACCUUCUGGGAAGCUGCCAGUUAGACUGCGGUGGGAAGCAGAAGGCACAGCAGCGUACAAGCUAG